UAAGCACCGGCUAACUACGUGCCAGCAGCCGCGGUAAUACGUAGGGUGCAAGCGUUGUCCGGAUUUACUGGGUUUAAAGGGUACGUAGGCGGUUGUGCCAAGUCUGGGGUGAAAGUUUGCAGCUCAACUGUAAAAUUGCCUUGGAUACUGGUCGGCUAGAGUAGUGGAGCGGUGGCUGGAAUUUAUAGUGUAGCGGUGAAAUGCUUAGAUACUAUGAGGAACACCAAUUGCGAAGGCAGGUUACUGGUCACUAACUGACGCUGAGGUACGAAAGUGUGGGGAUCAAACAGGAUUAGAUACCCUGGUAG
rnacentral:rRNA from 1 species